rnacentral:rRNA from 1 species
AGGGAAUAUUGGGCAAUGGACGCAAGUCUGACCCAGCCAUGCCGCGUGCAGGAAUGACGGCCCUAUGGGUUGUAAACUGCUUUUCUGCAAGAAGAAACCCCCGUACGUGUACGGGGCUGACGGUAUUGUAGGAAUAAGCAUCGGCUAACUCCGUGCCAGCAGCCGCGGUAAUACGGAGGAUGCAAGCGUUAUCCGGAUUCAUUGGGUUUAAAGGGUGCGCAGGCGGAUUAGUAAGUCAGUGGUGAAAGCCUACAGCUUAACUGUAGAACUGCCUUUGAUACUGCUAAUCUUGAGUGUAGUUGAGGUAGGCGGAAUGUGUCAUGUAGCGGUGAAAUGCUUAGAUAUGACACAGAACACCGAUCGUGAAGACAGCUUACCAAGCUACAACUGACGCUCAUGCACGAAAGCGUGGGGAUCAAAC